rnacentral:rRNA from 1 species
CAAUAGCGUAUAUUAAAGUUGUUGCGGUUAAAAAGCUCGUAGUUGGAUUUCUGCUGAGAACGACCGGUCCGCCCUCUGGGUGUGUAUCUGGCUCUUUCUUGGCAUCUUCUUGGUGAACGUUGCUGCACUUGACUGUGUGGAACGCUACCCAGGACUUUUACUUUGAGGAAAUUAGAGUGUUUCAAGCAGGCAUACGCCUUGAAUACAUUAGCAUGGAAUAAUAAGAUAGGACCUCGGUUCUAUUUUGUUGGUUUCUGGGACUGAAGUAAUGAUUAAUAGGGACAGUCGGGGGCAUUCGUACUUAACUGUCAGAGGUGGAAUUCUUGGAUUUGUUAAAGACGAACUACUGCGAAAGCAUUUGCCAAGGAUGUUUUCAUUGA